rnacentral:snRNA from 1 species
GUACUUGCUUCGGCAGUACAUAUACUAAAAUUGGAACGAUACAGAGAAGAUAAGCAUGGCCCCUGCGCAAGGUUGACACGCAAAAUCGUGAAGCGUUCCACAUUUUU